GUGCUUGGAUUUCUCCAUUUUGAUUAUUGCACUGGGAAUGCUAAAGAAGGAUUUGGACUGUUGAUUGAUUUUGUUGAUUCAACUGGCCAAAUUACAGAGACAUGUUGGAGGGUCGGUCCUGUCUGGUAACAAGGUUGUUUGGUAGCUCCUGCCAGCCAGAAUCCCAGUGGCCUUUCAUGUCUUUACGGCCCGGCAAGCACCCUAUAGACGGCUCUGAGGACGAUUAUCGACCAAUCAAGUACCCCAGGGUAUCAGAUUGUCGCGAAACUAGAGACAAGCAAUCUGAUGAUGAUCGAGCAGGGCAGUCUUCCGAUUCCGACCCUCUUAUUGAUGCCAUUGGCCGUGACAUUUCUAUCAAUUGUCUCAUUCGCUGCUCUAGGUCUGAUU
rnacentral:misc_RNA from 1 species